AUUGAACGCUGGCGGCAGGCCUAACACAUGCAAGUCGAGCGAGCGGCGGACGGGUGAGUAAUGUAUGGGGAUCUGCCCGAUAGAGGGGGAUAACUACUGGAAACGGUGGCUAAUACCGCAUACUAUCGGAUGAACCCAGAUGGGCUUAGCUAGUGGGUGGGGUAACGGCUCACCUAGGCGACGAUCCCUAGCUGGUCUGAGAGGAUGACCAGCCAAACGGGGACUGAGACACGGUCCAGAAUCCUACGGGAGGCAGCAGUGGGGAAUAUUGCACAAUGGGCGCAAGCCUGAGGCAGCCAUGCGGCGUGUAUGAAGAAGGCCUUCGGGUUGUAAAGUACUUUCAGCGGGGAGGCGUUACCCGCAGAAGAAGCACCGGCUAACUCCGUGCCAGCAGCCGCGGUAAUAC
rnacentral:rRNA from 1 species